UAGAACCCACCGUAGCCCAUCUACGUUCCUCUAUCAAUAGAACCCACCGUAGCCCAUCUACGUUCCUCUAUCAAUAGAACCCACCGUAGCCCAUCUACGUUCCACUAUCAAUAGAACCCACCGUAGCCCAUCUACGUUCCUCUAUCAAUAGAACCCACCGUAGCCCAUCUACGUUCCUCUAUCAAUAGAACCCACCGUAGCCCAUCUAGAUUCCUUUAUCAAUAGACCACAAGACCAUGAGGUUCGGGGGGAGGAGUGGGGCAUAGCAUUUUUUCUUAGAUUUUCUUUCCCCUUUUCCACCUCAUUGUCAUCAUAAAUUAUCUACCUACCAAAUGUGACGCAUGAACAGAGAAGAAACCACAUUCUGACAUCACAGCAGACUGUUACACACCCACUCAACACGUCAGCACAACACACGCACAACACUGUCACAGAGGAGCAACAUGACCCCUCAACAAGACACAGGCUGGCACCUGGUGAUGAUCCAACCCUCUCCUAACAGUGGGGGGGGGGCAUACGGUAGCAUCCACACAGUGGACUGUGCUAGGUGGGGGGUUCUCUGUACACUGAAUCACUUAAGGCACAGCUUGGGGAACGGCAUGGAUCCAUGUCAUCCCUUAUGACAGUCCAGUCGGACAGUGCCAAGUGUGAAAGGUGGUCUCUGGGGCUCCCUCUGGUGGCUCGCUGCGGUCCAGAGUCCAGAGUUCGGGGUCAAGGCUAACACAAUCCUUGGCUACACUGGAUGUGUGUGGUGUCUGGGUGUUUGAAUUAAACUGUGAGAACAGAGAUAUGUAACUUGACAGUAAAGUACAGACAGCAGUUAGGCCUACCUUAAAUCCUUAGCACCAACAAGAAAAAGCCCAAGUAUUAAUACAAAUGGCACAUCGUUUUAGUGUAUAGGGUGAAGCACAUACGAAUGAUUUUUGUGUAACACCAGUGUUGUGGUAGAAAACGUUAUUCCAUGUGUGAACAAUUAGACCAUAUUAUUUGGCCAUAAACUGAGCCAUUUCAUGUUUGAAAUGCAUGUGCAUCUGUUUCAUCGGAGACUGCAGACGCGCUGUCAAAAUAUCUAACUCGUCAGAUUCAAAUGCGCUCAUGGCUCUUAAAGGGGAUGGGAGCUGGCACUCUCAUUGGUUUAUUGCACGUUACGCCCAAACCACACCUACGGGUAAUUAGGCUACUUCAGACCAACCUUUUUAAGAUAUAAGUAAUUUCUCGCGCCGGUUAACUAGCGACAUCGCCGGUGAACCGCCCACAAAGCUAAUUGCGCUUGGCGCUUCUCACUUGCGUUUCAGACCGUUAAAAUAGGGCUCAAGGUCUCCAUUUGGCAAUAAAGAAAUUCUUUAGAAAGUUUGGAUCCAUUUUGGUUUAUUUAAAAUGUGUUUGUGUGUCCUCUGUUGGCUCACUUUUUAAAGUGAAAAUUGUAGAAAUUAAUUAUCCAACCCUUACAUACUAAACCUCUAAAUAAAAUACAUGUGAAAUGUAGUUUUUCAUAACUCUCUAAUUACACGAGCGUAACUGACCUGUCAAUCAUAACAGAGAAACACCAACAACAUUUGAGCCUUGAUGACCAAUUAAUGAAACAAAAGUGAAAGUACCAAUUGAGCCAGACACUGAAGACGGGAAGAAAUGGAUCAAUGUAUGUAUCGGACUGUCAAUCCAUAUAUAAUAGAAAGGUUGUCAAGUGGAAUCCAUUGUUUUAGAAAGAGGAGCUUCAAAUAUAGUCUGGCAGCACCAGGUCUAGGUCGAGGCCCAGGUCCGGUUUCAGGUCCAGUGCCUUCCGGCGCUGACACUUGGCGUAGGCGGAGUGAAGAGGAGAGUGAGACGGAGCGGGCGUGGGUGUGGCUGGGCUGGGGGCAGAGAGUGAGACGGAGUGGGCGUUUGGAGUGAGGAGAGGGGGGUGCACUGUGAGCCAGAGUUCCCUGCAGAAGGCAGCGGGCGGCCCUGUGGGUCCAGGGCUAUGUAGGGGACAUCAGUUCAGGAACUGGGUGUAGCCCU